UACAGAGGUCUCAAGCGUUGUUCGGAUUCAUUGGGCGUAAAGGGUGUGUAGGUGGCGCGCUAAGUCGGGUGUGAAAUUUCGGAGCUUAACUCCGAAACUGCAUUCGAUACUGGCGUGCUUGAGGACUGGAGAGGAGACUGGAAAUUCAUGGUGUAGCAGUGAAAUGCGUAGAGAUCACGGAGGAAGACCAGUGGCGAAGGCGGGUCUCUGGACAGUUCCUGACGCUGAGGCACGAAGGUCCAGGGGAGCAAACGGGG
rnacentral:rRNA from 1 species